CGGUAUAUGUUCUCUAGGCCUUUUAGAAAACAUGGGGUUGUUCCUUUGGCCACAUACAUGCAAAUCUACAAAAAGGGUGAUAUUGUAGACAUCAAGGGAAUGGGUACUGUUCAAAAAGGAAUGCCACACAAAUGUUACCAUGGCAAAACUGGAAGAGUCUACAAUGUUACCCAGCAUGCUGUUGGCAUUGUUGUAAACAAGCAAGUUAAGGGCAAGAUACUUGCCAAGAGGAUUCGAGAUAGUUUCCUGAAAUGAGUCAAGGAAAAUGAUCAGAAAAAGAAGGAAGUCAAAGAGAAAGGUUUCAGAUAUGCUGAUGUUUACACUACAAAGAAAUACUUCUGUGAAUUCUAUACCACCCACAAAAGACCAAAGGGAAAGAAAAGGUAAAACUUCAAAGUUAUCAGCAGGAAAUGAGUGUCAAUGCAACAGCUGCUGUCACAAGGCACCAAAGGAAUUGCAUCUACAAGGAACAAAGAAGACAAACACACAAGUUAACAUGGGAGAAACAGAAGCCCCCCCGACUGCUGAUGAACCAUCCAACAGAGAAGGGGAGGCUACCAGGCAAUUCUCAUCUAAAGACAAAGGACUCUUUAGAACAGGCAGGAUGCCAACAGCAGAUGAGAGAGACAAGCAAGAGAUGACAGUGUCUGAGGCUUAUUCCAGGCACAGGCAGACUGAAGUUGAAGAUUUGAGCAAGGAAGCAGGAGGUAAAGCUGAUAGCAAAGGCUACAGCCAAACUGCAAAUGAUCUCUACCACAACCUGGGCAUUCUCUGUAACUCCCUACGUGUGAGUCCUUCAAUACUUUUAAGACUGUGAAACUGAGAAUUGACUUAAAAACCUUUAUCUGGCAGCUGAGAAUGCAUAUGAAACCAAAAAGCCUUGAAACUCACUUUCUGUCAACAUAGAUUAAUCAAUAACUGAUUUUUUUUUUUUUUUUUGGUUCCAGGGAUCAAACUCACGACCUUGAGCUUUCGAGGCAGGCAUAAUGCCACUGAGCUAUAUCCUCAGCCCAUUCAAUAACUGACUUUUCCUCUUGGUGCUUGGUGCUGGCCUUUCCAGUACUAUAUUCACUUUCAACAUACAAUUCAGAGCUGGAUGUGCUUGUAAUGAAGCUCAUGGUGAAAGCAGCUGGACCAAGGGCAUGAUCCCAUCCUGCUACAUAUAACAUCCAGCAGGUACUUUAAAAGCAGAAUAGGGGCCAGGGAUAUAGCUCAGUGGCACUGCACCUGCCUGGCAA